AUUGAACGCUGGCGGCAUGCUUUACACAUGCAAGUCGAACGGCAGCACGGGUGCUUGCACCUGGUGGCGAGUGGCGAACGGGUGAGUAAUGCAUCGGAACGUGCCCAUGAGUGGGGGAUAGCCCGGCGAAAGCCGGAUUAAUACCGCAUACGCCCUUAGGGGGAAAGCGGGGGAUCUUCGGACCUCGCGCUAUUGGAGCGGCCGAUGUCGGAUUAGCUAGUAGGUGAGGUAAAGGCUCACCUAGGCGACGAUCCGUAGCUGGUCUGAGAGGAUGAUCCGCCACACUGGAACUGAGACACGGUCCAGACUCCUACGGGAGGCAGCAGUGGGGAAUUUUGGACAAUGGGCGCAAGCCUGAUCCAGCCAUGCCGCGUGAGUGAAGAAGGCCU
rnacentral:rRNA from 1 species